UACGGGGGGAGCAAGCGUUGUUCGGAUUUACUGGGCGUAAAGGGCGCGUAGGCGGCGCAACAAGUCACUUGUGAAAUCUCCGGGCUUAACCCGGAGCGGUCAAGUGAUACUGUCGUGCUAGAGUGCGGAAGGGGCUACUGGAAUUCUCGGUGUAGCGGUGAAAUGCGUAGAUAUCGAGAGGAACACCUGCGGCGAAGGCGGGUAGCUGGGCCGACACUGACGCUGAUGCGCGAAAGCCAGGGGAGGCGAAACGGG
rnacentral:rRNA from 1 species